rnacentral:rRNA from 1 species
CAGCCGUAAACUAUGCGCGUUAGGUGUACUGGUGACCACGAGUUACCGAGGUGCCGAAGGGAAACCGUGAAACGUGCCGCCUGGGAAGUACGGUCGCAAGGCUGAAACUUAAAGGAAUUGGCGGGGGAGCACCACAACAGGUGGAGCCUGCGGUUUAAUUGGACUCAACGCCGGAAAUCUCACCGGAUAGGACAGACAUAUGAUAGUCGGGCUGAAGACUCUACUUGAUGAUCUGAGAGGUGGUGCAUGGCCGUCAGUGACU